rnacentral:lncRNA from 1 species
AGUGUAAAAAUCGUAUAUUUUGGUUGGGAGUCACUACGCUUGUUGCGGGGCCCCCUAGUGAUGUGUGACGCUCGGUAUGGGGCCGGGCUGGGGCAGGUGACCACCCCGCACUCGAGUCAGCGCCCACACCAACCUCAGCCCCCGCCCUGUGCCCACGCCCUUCUCCUGCCGCGCUAUCUCACCUGGGGCGUGUAUUCCACCUGCUAACCUGACGCCUGAAGCGAACGGCCUCAACAAAUCCCAGGGAGCAAGUAUCGGUGUAUUGAAGACCAAAGAGAUGCUCUGUGGACCUUCCUACACAAACCAGGGCUGAGGCCUGGUCGCGGUGGGCUGGCGGGCUGGUAGCGGCGGUACUUUGCCUCGCUGGUGAGUAAUGGCCAGAAUCCGACAAUCCGGAAGACCCACCACCCUGAGCCCGUUCCUCGUCUCCGUCCCCGCGCCACUCCAGCCCUCGAUCCUUGCCCUGGGCUCUUCUCCUCCUCACCGAUCCUGCCCCCAGCACGUACUGGCACCCCGCUGGCCAACAUUUAUGUUCUACGGCCGGUGAAGUGCGCGAAAUAAUGCAGUAAUUUGCAUCACUUUGGUCCGCGUCAAGACUUUCCUCUCCUUGCCAUCAUUUGACUGUCAAAGCAGUUUAUAAUCAUAAUUAAUUUCCCUUUCGUACAUUUAAAUUCUUUCCUCUCACCGCUUCACCAGUAAAACACCACAAGUACAUGCAAUAUUUACAACACGAGAUGGCUCAGCACUUUCCUAUCCUAGUGAUACAGAAGACCGUUUCCAUCCUUGGCAGAGGCCGCGACCUGGACAACCCAUCCGCGCCCUUCCCGGUGUGGCUGUUACCUAGGCGCUGGUCUGGAGAGGUUGCAAGGAGAUUAAGAAUGAAUGGUGAGGUUGAGGAGCUGUAAGUACGUGGCGGUUAGAUUACACAGACAAGUCAAUGUUGUAUAAAGAGACUAGGGCUAUAGAGAUACUGCCAGGGUUGUAUGGGGAGAUAAGGACAGCGCUAGGGAUAGGUCUAUGAGGCGAGGCGAGGCAAGGAGGAUAACAAACGUAGGAAAGGAAGCAAGGGUAGCACAGGAUGACCACAGAUGGUGAUGGUGAAAAGUGGUGCUAAGUGGGGUACGUAGUGAUUAUAAUUAUGUGAAAAGGAUAGUUAGGAAUGCACUUGGCAGGUAGGGGUGAUCAUAUAACUGAAGGCGGCAUGGGAGUCACGCAACUACUGACAUCCUAAUCCAUGCGAGUAACAGGCACCUCAGAGUGGCUAAACACCGGCCAUUUCCCCCGUCAAGAGUAGUGUUAGGGACCAUCUUAUCGGGCGGGACCAGACGGUGAUGGCUAGCGACGACAGCCUUUAUCACGAGCCUCGUACAUCACUGCGACCUCCUCCCCGGUGCCCUCGCCCGCACGCACCCGUCCUCCAGAGGCCUCACGCUUAUAGCUACACUGACCGCAAGCAAUUUAUGUCGUCGGUAAUAGGUAGUGCGUGUAUUUUGAGCCGUUUUAUUUAGGCAGUGUCAAAGGUGUUGGAUGGCGACAGGGAGGCAAGAGUCGGCAGGGUAGGCGAGGAAGUAGCGGGCGGCAGGGUGGCGGCGGCGGGCGGCGGGAUAAUCAGACCAUUUGUAUGAGGCGCGUGGUGCGGGGUCAGACCAACCCGCCAUUAUUCAGCCAACAAUGAUAGCCUGCCUUAAGGGGGGAGCGAGGGGGACUGGGAACUCCUGUUCUUAUCCUACCCUCGCCUGCCCCUCCCCUGCCAUACCUCCCAUACAAGCAGAAAAUUGCAUAAAUAUUUCCCUGAGGAGUGAAAGAUAUUCUUCCUGAAGAUAAUGUUAGCAUCGAAAGAAUUAAAUUUACAGCGAGAGGACGCCGACGUGAAAGAUAUUUAUCCCAUACAAACUGCAAGGAAAUAAAAAAAAAAAAAAAUCAGCGAGCAUAUACAUGUAUCUGCGUGUUAUAUAUCUGAAGGCACCUUAUUCUCAUCACGAAGGCAAGAGUGUUGUGCUAAGGUCUCGAGAGAUGUCAGAUAAGGAAGAAAUGCAAAGAGCAAUGUCUUAGUACUCAUGAAAUCUAUACUAAUGUUAUAACUGAGGAGGUAAAUAUCCAUGUAUCAAUGUUGUCUGCCAUCCAUUAUCGUGUAUACUCUAACAUGUUUUCUAAGUGGCACAAUACAGUACGAACGAAUGAUUUUAUCUAGUUAGCUAUUUGUUGAUUUGUUCACUAACUUUCCAUGCUAAUGAAAAGAAAGAUAUCUUAAUAACACAUGAACAUUAUUGCCAGCUGCUCAGCAACGAGGGAUCGUAAAUCUUGACAACAGUGACGACGAUAAAUAACUGCAGUCACGACUCAAUAACUCAUUACGAUGACCUCACUCGUCAGCCAUUAGUCCCUCGGCUGCAGUGGUUCCUCCCAAGCCCAAUGAAAUAAUCUAGUUUGAGUCUAUACUUUGAAAGACAUCACUGACAGGAAAGGAGAAUAAUCGAAUGAUUUGCACCUUUUAGAGAUUAUUAUAUACUUAUUCAAGUACCUUGUGAUUGUUCAUAAUGAUGUAACAGGUGUCACAAAUUCAUUAACAGCCAGAGAGAUUAACACAAAAAUACUGCGACUGCAUGCACCUCCAUAAACCAUAACAUACCACUUUACCGAAGUCACUAAUACGUAUUCAAACUAAUGAGAAUUCUCUAGUAUUUACCAGCCCUCUCUAAACCCACGAGGCCCCAGCAGCACCCACGAGGACCCGCCGCAAUCCGACCCGCAUCGUGCAUCACUACGGGCGUCGCCACAGAGCGGGCGGGCGGUAAUUUGUGGCAUCAAUAACAGGUAUUAUCCAAGGCGACUGGUCCACGCUGCCCUACUGAACCCAUUACCCCAUUAUCACAAUUCCUUUUUUAGAUCAAUUAGCAGCUCGUAAGGCGUAGUGACGGAACAAUGAGGCUAUCCAGUCAAUGGCCGACUAGUGUGGGUGAGUGUGGUCCAAUAGAAUAACGUGCACAAAUCUGGUGUUACUAGCAUCCAGCGUGCAUGGGACAGAUCUGACAUCCUUUCAAUAACUCAAAAUGUUGCCUGUAGCUAUCUUUUAUCAUGAUGAUGUAUGUAAGAAAAAUAUUAUCCUUAUUUCAGAAGUAACAGUGCAUGAAAAUAGCUGGACCAAUAUUUUCUUCUUUUGUAAAAGAAAAAAAAAAUCAGGAAUACAAUGCCAUGAAAGAAGAGGCGGCGGCAUGACAUACAACGCUGCUCUUAAUUCUCUCUCUCUCUCUCUCUCUCUCUCUCUCUCUCUCUCUCUGGACCGGAAGAAGACUUCUAAGCCACAUUUGAAGCCCGCUGUCAAGGAAAGUUUUGGAGUCAGUUAGGGUAAAGUCUGCACUAUCAAGAGAGCUAUCCGUCGACAGUACUGGAGCCAAACAACUGUCAUGGAGUUGCUCUCUUUAUGGACAGGCUAAUAUGCACCGGAACAUCGAGAGAAUAUCCCCACAUCUACAAAAACUCGCAUACUUUGAAGACAUUUUAUAUAUCAUAUUUAAGAUUUGUUGUAUCACUUUAAUAUAAGUAAAUGUGAUAGUAUAUAUAUAUAUUGGUAUUUUAGUAGAAUAAUGCUAUACUAUAUAGAUAUGUGACGUGCAAAUGUCAUUUUCGAAAUAAUAAAAAUAUUUUGUUCGGAUUGUUUGCGUGAAAACACACCAAUAAAAGAUACUAAGAGCAAACAAUAAAAUUAAGGUUGUGUUUGCAUGUACUGAAAACAUGAUCAACACACUGUCAAAUGUUACAAUCUAAUUGAAAGGUAAUAUAAUCAUUUGUUGGUGAAAGUCUGUUGGCGGAAUACCUAUAAAAGCAGUUCAAAACUCCAAACCCACUUGAACGUUUUCAUUCUUCUUCUCAUUACCUUAAUGUGUAACCAGCGUUUCUUCUCGGCAACGUAUGGCUGGCUUCCCCAGAAUCAACUUAAUGUCCUAAGUUAAUAAAGUAAUACAUUAAUAUUAA